rnacentral:rRNA from 1 species
UGUUUGAUGUUCUAACGUUGGCCCCUGAUCGGGGUUGCGGACAGUGUCUGGUGGGUAGUUUGACUGGGGCGGUCUCCUCCUAAAGAGUAACGGAGGAGCACGAAGGUUGGCUAAUCCUGGUCGGACAUCAGGAGGUUAGUGCAAUGGCAUAAGCCAGCUUGACUGCGAGCGUGACGGCGCGAGCAGGUGCGAAAGCAGGUCAUAGUGAUCCGGUGGUUCUGAAUGGAAGGGCCAUCGCUCAACGGAUAAAAGGUACUCCGGGGAUAACAGGCUGAUACCGCCCAAGAGUUCAUAUCGACGGCGGUGUUUGGCACCUCGAUGUCGGCUCAUCACAUCCUGGGGCUGAAGUAGGUCCCAAGGGUAUGGCUGUUCGCCAUUUAAAGUGGUACGCGAGCUGGGUUUAGAACGUCGUGAGACAGUUCGGUCCCUAUCUGCCGUGGGCGCUGGAGAACUGAGGGGGGCUGCUCCUAGUACGAGAGGACCGGAGUGGACGCAUCACUGGUGUUCGGGUUGUCAUGCCAAUGGCACUGCCCGGUAGCUAAAUGCGGAAGAGAUAAGUGCUGAAAGCAUCUAAGCACGAAACUUGCCCCGAGAUG